AUUGAACGCUGGCGGCAUGCUUUACACAUGCAAGUCGGACGGCAGCACAGUGAAGCUUUCUUCUUGGGUGGCGAGUGGCGAACGGGUGAGUAAUAUAUCGCAACGUCCCGAGUAAUGGGGGAUAUCUGAUCGAAAGAUUUGCUAACACCGCAUAUUCUCUGAGGAGGAAAGCGGGGGACCUUCUUGCCUUGCGUUAGUCGGGCGGCCCAUAUCUGCUGAUCUAUUUGGUGGGGUAAAGGCCUCCCAGGGGGAUGAUCGGUAGCGGGUGUGAGAGGAGGAAGCGCCACACUGGGACUGAGACACGGCCCAGACACUGAGGGGAGGCAGCGGCGGGUAAUUUUGGAAAAAGGGGGCAAGCUUGCUCCAGCCACGCCGGGUGUCUGAAGAAGGCCUUCGGGUUGUAAAGGACUUUUGUGGGGGAAGAAAGGGCUGGUGCUAAAAUAGGCGGGUGAUAACGGAACCUGAAAAGUAAGAACGGGCUACCUAGGU
rnacentral:rRNA from 1 species